rnacentral:rRNA from 1 species
CACAUGCAAGUCGAACGGACACGUUGUUUGAAUCUCGGAGGACGAGCAAGUUGUAGUGGCGGACGGGUGAGUAACGCGUGGGUAACCUGCCCUUUAAAUGGGACAACAGUUGGGAAACGACUGCUAAUCCGAAAUGUGACGGACGGAAGACAUCUUCUGUCUGGGAAAGAUGGCUGAGCUUGAUGCUAUCGUUAAAGGAUGGACCCGCGUCUGAUUAGUUAGUUGGUGAGGUAGUGGCUCACCAAGGCGACGAUCAGUAGCCGACCUGAGAGGGUGACCGGCCACAUUGGGACUGAGACACGGCCCAGACUCCUACGGGAGGCAGCAGUGGGGAAUAUUGGUCAAUGGACGAGAGUCUGAACCAGCCAAGUAGCCGUGAAGGAUGACUGCCCUAUGGGUUGUAAACUUCUUUUAUAAGGGAAUAAAGUGAGGGACGUGUCCCUUUUUGUAUGUACCUUAUGAAUAAGGAUCGGCUAACUCCGUGCCAGCAGCUGC